rnacentral:rRNA from 1 species
UACGGAAGGCAGCAGUGGGGAAUAUUGCACAAUGGGCGAAAGCCUGAUGCAGCUAUGCCGCGUGUAUGAAGAAGGCCUUAGGGUUGUAAAGUACUUUCAUCGGGGAGGAAAAACAAACUAAUAAUUUUAUUCUUGACGUUACCCGAAAAAGAAGCACCGGCUAACUCCGUGCCAGCAGCCGCGGUAAUACGGAGGGUGCUAGCGUUAAUCAGAAUUACUGGGCGUAAAGAGCACGUAGGUGGUUUUUUUAAGUCAAAUGUGAAAUCCCUGGGCUUAACCUAGGAACUGCAUUUUGAAACUGAAAUACUAGAGUAUCGUAGAGGGAGGUAGAAUUCUAGGUGUAGCGGUGAAAUGCGUAGAUAUCUGGAGGAAUACCUGUGGCGAAAGCGGCCUCCUAAACGAAUACUGACACUGAGGUGCGAAAGCGUGGGGAGCAAACAGGGAUUAGAUACC